CUUGUAAACAUUUAUGUCAUCAGAAGCAAAUGUUUCCUUCCUGGCAAGCAUUUCCUUCCCCCGUUAGGACCUCCAUCCCUCUCAUUUUGCCUCCUCCUUCCCAUUUGUAUAAAAGGGGGCAUGGGAUACUCCACAGACUUACAGGAGGGACACCAGAGCUCUUUCCUGCACGCCCCAAUAAGAGUUUGCCAGCAACUCAUUGAAAAACCAAGAUGAAAAUCCUCUUGAGCCUGACUGCCUUGUCUUUGACACUUGCCUUGUAUCAGGGAACCUGCAUAUUUCGCGAGCCCAAAGAAGAGAUUAAAGAUGAAAAUCCUCUUGAGCCUGACUGCCUUGUCUUUGACACUUGCCUUGUGUCAGGGAACCUGCAGAUUCAGCGAGCACAAAGAAGAGAUUAAAGAUGGUAAGCCGGUGCUGCCCACUGAGUGUACUGAUCCCAUGAAUGGGAGCAAGCAUCCAUUAAGCUCCAAGUGGAAUACACCGAAUUGCAUGGAAUGCGUAUGUAAUGAAAAGGGAAUGCUGUGCUGUUCCAGGCACUUUGAUCUUGUCGAACGUCAAGGAUGUAAAGCAAUGUUCCAUCCAAUCAAAUGUGAAUAUGUGUACUAUAAACUAGGGUAUGAUCGCUACAUACCCUGUCCCUGAGCUUUACAAAUCCCACCCAAAUUCCUUUCAUGUAAAAGAAUCUGAUUAAAUCAGUCAUAUGUGCAUUUCAGUGUGUAUCUGUUGUCUUUGCUUGAUAUCACUACUUGCAGAAUUUGGUACAUAUCAUAAUGAAAG